UCGUGCAGUGGCGUGGGCGAAUAUAAGAAAUCUCUAUUAGAACCCGGUAGAACCCAUCCUGUUACACCGUCUAUAUAACAACGCCUGUUUAAAUUAUAGUGACAGAGCAACCGCAGGGCACAAGCGGAUCUUGCUUUCCUCAACUUCUACAUCACCAAACUUGGAAGGUAGUUUCAGAUUUAUUCCUAUAAAAACGGGUUUAUAUGUUGACUUCGCACUCGAAAUGAUUGUCGGGAAUGAUUUAUUUUCAACUGAACCUCGAUCUCAGAUUAUCGUCUUAUAGCUGCUUAGAAAUUUUUUUUUCCCCAAAAUUGUUGUUUCUUGAUGGUAAUCUUCCUCUAGCAAAAGCGUUUUCUCUUGAAUUUUUGAUGUGGCUGUUUAUGGUUUUCUCCCAGACCGGCACGUGUAAUAUGUGAAAUACCCGGGACCAAAAUCCACUAGACCUUAGGUGGCUUUGCCCUUGAUUUCAUUGGAAUUAGGAAAAAGUUACCCUGGAAUUUUGAAUAUGUUUGUCUAAAAAUGAAGUUCAAGCUUAUAAUUAAAACUAGAAAAAAGGGCUUCGUAAAUAGUAGUUUAAUGAUAAGUUCUGGAUCCUCAAUUUGGAUAUCUAUACUAGAAGGGACCAGGUCAGACAUAUGUUUU
rnacentral:lncRNA from 1 species